CCCCUGGUGGCUCAACUGGUAAAGCAUCUGCCUGCAAUGGAGGAGACCCCAGUUCGAUAUCUGGGUCAGGAAG
rnacentral:tRNA from 1 species